rfam:Schistosoma haematobium scaffold1399_21, whole genome shotgun sequence.
GCACUGGUGAUGUGUCCCACAAUAGGACGAAACGGCCGUCCGGUGU